GACGAACGCUGGCGGCGUGCCUAAUACAUGCAAGUCGAGCGGACAAAUCGAAAGCUUGCUCUUGAUUCGUUAGCGGCGGACGGGUGAGUAACACGUGGGCAACCUACCCUGUAGACGGGGAUAACACCGAGAAACCGGUGCUAAUACCGGAUAACAUGAAAUAUCGCAUGACGUUUCGUUGAAAGACGGCGCAAGCUGUCGCUACAGAUUGAGCCCGCGGCGCAUUAGCUAGUUGGUGAGGUAACGGCUCACCAAGGCGACGAUGCGUAGCCGACCUGAGAGGGUGAUCGGCCACACUGGGACUGAGACACGGCCCAGACUCCUACGGGAGGCAGCAGUAGGGAAUCUUCCGCAAUGGGCGAAAGUCUGACGGAGCAACGCCGCGUGAGCGAAGAAGGCCUUCGGAUCGUAAAGCUCUGUUGUUAGGGAAGAACAAGUGUCGCAGUAACUGGGGUUACCGUGACGGUACCUAACGAGAAAGCCACGGCUAACUACGUG
rnacentral:rRNA from 1 species